rnacentral:rRNA from 1 species
UACGUAGGGUGCAAGCGUUGUCCGGAAUUAUUGGGCGUAAAGAGCUCGUAGGCGGUUUGUCGCGUCUGCUGUGAAAAUCCAGGGCUUAACCCUGGACCUGCAUCGGGUACGGGCAGACUAGAGUGCGGUAGGGGAGAUCGGAAUUCCUGGUGUAGCGGUGAAAUGCGCAGAUAUCAGGAGGAACACCGGUGGCGAAGGCGGAUCUCUGGGCCG